rnacentral:tRNA from 1 species
CCGACCUUAGCUCAGUUGGUAGAGCGGAGGAUUGUAGUAUGUGAAAUACAUUGAAUUCUAUCAUUAGGUCGCUGGUUCGAAUCCGGCAGGUCAGA